UAAUUGAGCAAUUUAUUAUUCAGUUGACUAAUUGAAUUGGUAUAAAAUAUAGAAGAGAGCUUCAACAUGGGUAUUAGCUAGUGCUGAUGCAACAGUACAUGAACUUUUUAUUAGGUUGACAUUCUGUGACUAGAGUGUGGGGAAACACGAUUGGGUUUGCAUCACACAAAAUGUACAAUUGCUUCAAAGGUGAAUGUUAAUAUAGUGCAAUGAUGGUGGUAACAAGAGCCCAGAUUUAUGAGUGAUGAUUCUGCUGCCGGUUACACUCCAGGAUUAGAAACUUAUGCUACUACAUUAUACAGCCAAUUGGAAGUCACAUAUUCCCAUUGGAGCCUAAGUAAUUCAGCAUUCAAGAUACUAAGCUCCACUUACCUCUCACACUCGGUUCCAACAGAAAAGCUGCUGCACAUCAUAGGACAUAGCUCAUGUCUACCUAAAAAACCAUACAAUUUGCAGAUGUUACGGACUUUAAACUAUGGGAGAGUUACUGCAAAGGUGAUUCAGAAAUCAGGGGUCACCCAUUUGGCAUCCAGGUUUGCGAUGUGUGGUGCAUCAAGUGUCAAAAUGGGGUCACAUUAAUACAGGACCUUCGGUCACUUCACUCAGACCCACAGCUCACCAGUGGUCAGCGAUGAUGUGGUUCUGUAUCUCUGCUCUCGAGGAAAUAUGCAAUGAGUCAACCAGCACUCAUUUUGAUCUACUUUCUGUUUGAUGAUUGGUUCUAUGAGCAGGAAGAUGGAGUGGGCAUGGAGCCAUCAACUAUCCCACAUCAUAGCCAACAAAUAUACAUCACAUUCUGAGGCACAGCUGGUGUUGGUUAAGGUUUGUGGGUUUGUGGGCGAUACCUUUGUUGUCUGACAUCAUGAUCCAGUGGAUCUCCACAACUUUCUCUUCCACCUAAAGAGAAUUCCUCCAAAGAUUCAGUUUAUGAUGGAGUGGGAAGCAGGAGGUCACCUGCCAUUCCUGGCUGAAUGUUGGCAUUUAGAGAAUCACAUUCAGUUCUUGGGCACAAACCACAGGAAUUACUUGAAUGGGUGCUGUGUUGCAUCACCAGCUGACCCAGAUCUUUGGUAUCCUCUGAACCUUUAUACUUUGGGCAAGCAACAUAAACCUACGUACUGAACUGGCUUGUCCCAGAAGAACUUCCAUGAGGAAAGGUGCCCUGCAGAAUAUUCUGCCCCAGGGACUGGCCCAGUGAAACAGCAUUGAUAGAAACCCAUCAGAACAGAAUUUUAUCAUUCUUGCAGAAUCUGUCCAGCUGCGAUGGCAAAAUAGUGGUGUGUUACUACAUCCAUCUUAUCAUGACAGCUGCUGGAGGCUACUUGUAAGUGCAGGUCUUUGUUCAUAGGUGAGAUUUGUCACAUAAUAGAAAAUGAUGAAUGGAACAGCAGAGAGACCUCUAGCGGUGCUAUGCUUUGUUGGUAUCACACUCAGUCAACCAGGGCCGCGAGAUGCAGUUUGACAACACGAUGGUAGGAAGUUACAGUAAUAGCCUAGCGUCUCCAAGGUACACAGGAUGCCACUGAGGGCCAGUAACAGCAGCACCAACUCUAUAACUUGCGCCAUUCGUCAAUCCUACCUAUGUCCAUCCUCGCUAACACCUGACCACAUGGUGUGUGACCAUCACACCACUUUGGGGUCCUCCAUAAUGACUGCUUGUUUGGUGUUCUUUAUGCUCUGGAAUUAGGAAAGAACAAUAAGGGCCUGUCCAUACCUGAUUCUCUGCCUGUCACGAUUUUGAGUAAUGGACUGGUAGUAGAUUCAGAAAACAUAAUACGAAAAAUGGAAUUGUUGACCAAAUGGUGAUUUGCGUGCUGGAUGAUCAUAACACUGAUUAGAAUGAUAAGAUAAAUGUUGAUGAUUUUCACAGGUGAAUUUUGAUUUCAGAAAACUGAUGUAAUGGAUAUGGCAGUGAUCUUCAGACUGAUCAUUGUGGACCUUGCCAUAAUGACUGUAAUAUAAGCCAGUCAUUGUGUUGAAUAUUUUUGGGAUUGGUGUGUUACCUGUAUAAGAUGUGAAGUUCUCAUUGCAACCUAUUUCAGCAAAGUCUUGCUCAUGAGAAUUGAGUUUUGAUCACAACUCACGUGGCUGAUCAUGUGAGGAGACAUCAUUGAGUGGGACACCUGAUUCUGUGUAGAUCAAUUGUUAGGUCAUGAAAGUUUAUGAUAGAGGAGGAACUGUCUAUUAUACUGGGUUACUUGCAAUAUGCUAUGGCAAUGUCAUUACAAGAUGGUGUCUAGAGUUGAUUUGUAAGUUUCUGCAUUUCACUGAUGAUAAGAGUAUCCAUACCAUGGCCUUCCAGAGCUUUGAGGAUGGUGUCUGUCAGGCCAAGACAUCUGUAAUUCUGUAGAAGAGCCAUCUAUGAAACAAUUUCUUCCACAGUGAAAUUUAUAAUGCAGAUGUCUGAAUACUGAGACAGUUACAGAGUCACCUGUCAUACCAGUAGAUAUGAGCAAAAAAAAUUACUGCAGUUUUUGAUGUUCUGGUCUAAACUUUGCCAGGCUUGCCAUCUCAGCCCAUUAGUCUGGUAAAAUAAAUUUAGGAAACAAAUUGGCCAUUGUAGGAAUGCUGUUGUGUAGAAGGCUUGAUCAGAAAAAAUUGCUGUGCUCUGAGUGUGUGUGAGGGACGCAAUGAAGUGUUGUGAAUAGUGUGGUGUUGGAGUCUGUUUGAACUGUUUUGUAGACUAUCGAAAGAACAGCUUGCUUGUGUAAGAGAGAAAUAGGUUAGAGAGGUAUAUUGCAGUAUGUAAUAAGGAAGCUUGUGUCUGUAUUGCUGGGACAAUUAAGACUGUUUCAGUUUGCGGAUAAGGAAUGCCCAAUGUAUAAUCAGGCAUGAAGUUCUGACCAGGCAGGUGAUUCAUUGGAUCGAAUGAUUGUUGCCCAACAAAUGAGAGAGGACAGUCUUGCUAUGGCAAGGAGUCCUCUUAGUAUUCCACAGUAGACAAGAUUCUCUAGAAAUCUGGUAAGAUAAGCAAUUAAAAUGUUUUGUUAAUAGCUUGUUCUGAGUUUUGUGAAUUUUAGCACAUUUUGAAUUAGCGCGGAGCAAGAAACCUAAGCUCUGUAGAUUAAGAAACUCAACAUCUCAGUGCAAUAAAAUGCACUGGAGAAAUGUAAGCUGAUAUGAUUGUGACAGAUAUUCAUUCCGGGAUAAAAGCAUCAGUACAUGUGUAAUAAAUAAUCCUGAUGCAUCCAGAUUAUUAUUGUGUUGACAUUACAUGACUAAAAUAAAGAUGCUACAAG